rnacentral:lncRNA from 1 species
CAAAAUGAAAUACUUACGAUUCCUUAACAUGCUCAAAGAAAAUAUGAAAGUUCUUCUAUUUUGUUUACAAAAUUGAGGUAAUGCAGGUUUUUUUUUAGUCUUAAUGAAAAAGAAGGCUGCUUUAAAAGUUUCCUUUUCUCAACCAAGAAGUUUAGUUUUUUGUUUCAUGAAGAAACUCUCGAGCAUGGGCCUAUUGUUGAACUAAUUAUUUUCUUUUUAUAUUACUCUUUCUCAUGUGGUUUGAAUUGUAAAUAGUUUAUAACCAAAAGGUGGUAUGAUAGAGUCGGUAGACACUAGAUUGUACCUAAUCAAUUUCUUCAUUGUCAAUAAAUAUAGAUAGUUGGAUGAACGUGCACAAAAAGAAUGGGCUGCAUGCUGCUUCAAAAUCCUCUUAUGAAACAAAGAUUUCGCCGCAUGAUCCAGAGAAUGCAGGCAUGUUUGUUUUCUCAUUCCUUCUUUUCUUUAUUUAAGGUUUAUUAUUUAGAAUUAGAAUAAAUGAAUCUUAUUUUUAAAUAUAUUGAUUUGUAGAUUAAUGAUUACAAAUAAAAUUUGAUUUGAUAUUUUAUUUUAAUUUAUGAAAUUCUUUUUUGAAACAUAAUAGUGUGGUUUUGUUUACAAAUUCCAGGUUUAAUCUACAUAUUGUGUUUUACU